UUGAAUGUAGUAAGUAUAUGUUUAGCAAGAGUUUCAUGGCCCUUACCGGUCUGACUGUAAAGACCCUCCGAUUCAUACUCAUCAUCAAGUAUAGAGGAAAUGUUGGUCAUCCUUGAUUUCGGACUGACCAAAAAAAACAACAUUUGGUCAAGACUAUUUCAAGAUUAUUUAAGCCGAAAUGGGAGAUGGUCAACAGAUGUCCAAAAUACUCCCGAAACUUGACCUCGGCCAUGCCUGUGCAAAGUUUGAAAAUGAGAAAAUAACGCCGAACAUUGUUGGAAAACUGUCUGCCUUUGACUUGGAAAUUCUAGGUAUACCAAAUGCUUCGGAUAUGAUGAAACUUAUAGAACUGAAUGUGUAAAGUAUGGUCACUGUCCUGCUGCCAAAGUUACCCUAAAUGGUGGGACACCAGCUUAUGACAUUCCAAAAUGUACCCUCGAGGAUCUUUUGGAUAAUGGUUUUCAGAUAUCUGACAUAUCCAAGAUUCUGCAAGUUUCUGAACACACAAUUUACCGUAGGAUGUGCAUGUAUAAUUUGAGUAGGAUGUCAUUUAUUAACAUUUCCGAUGAACUGCUCAAUGAAAACAUUGAAAAAAUAAGUAAAGAUUUCCCUUUUUGUGGUGAAUCUAUGAUAAAGCAAAUGUUGUUUCAGCAAGGUAUCCAAGUGCAAAGAUGGCGUCUCCGGGAUUCCUUGCAUCGCAUAGACUCUGAAGGAGUGAUGGAACGACGUAAAGGAAAGCUCCACAGAUGUGUAUAAUGUUGUGGCUCCUAAUCACUUGUGGCACAUAGACACUAAUCACAAGCUUAUUCGAUGGCGAUUUGUAGUAGCUGGUGGCAUUGACGGUUUCAGCAGGAAGAUCAUGUUUUUGAAAUGCUAUGACAACAAAUCUCGAACUGUGUUUCAAUGUUUUUUAUCUGGUGUACGUAAAUAUGGUUAACCAAACAGAGUCCGCUCAGACAAAGGUCUAGAAAAUGUAGAUGUGGCGAACUACAUGCUAUCUAAAAGAGGAUUAUCUGGCAUGAUAACAGGGAAGAGCACCCACUUAAAUGAGAAACAGUUUGAAAUAAGCUGCAUGUUUAUUUUAUAUUAAAGGACAGAUACGUAUACUUCAAUCUCAAAAAUGAAGAAAAAAAUGUCUAUAAUCGGGACAGAUAUAUGUAAUAACGAAGCUUAAUCAUAACAUUAAUAUUUUUUAACAUUUGAUCAGAAGGGUCAGAAUGACCAUUAGUCCGUCAACUUUCACAUUUCCAACUUUUCAAUUUCAACUGGUGCCAUCGAGCUGGAAUUUGGUCGGGAAGUUAUGGAAGGGAAGCUAAUAAAGUGUUAUUUUUUGGACACGUAAAAACUUUGACAUGGCAGCCAUGUUGUAUCAUGAUUGCACAUUCAAAGAUUUCUUUAACACCUUUUUUAAACAGUUUUUCAAGUUUCACCAGUGGGACUGAGCUCGAACUGGCCUGAAAUGACCCCGAUAAGGUUCAGACUAAGUGUUAUUUCAGGUCGGUCCGAAAUCCAAUACGACAGUCAUGGCUGCCAUCUUAAAAAGCCGAUUUUAAACAUCUAUUCCAGUUCGAUUGGUACCUGAUUGAGCUGGAAAUUAGUUGGGAUGUUAAGGAAAGGAAGCCUUCAAAGUGUUGUUAUUUUUGGCCUCAUAAAAACCUUUUGACAUGGCAGCUACAGCAGCCAUUUUGUAACAUGAUUGUGCAAUCAUGGUUUUCCUGAACAAAACCUAUUUUAAAUUUCUUGUGUUCCACAAUGGAAUUCAGCUUAACUUUGCCUAAAUUGAUCUUCAGAUAUGCCUGACCAAUAGCAGUUAUUUUGAGGUUGCUCAGUAAUCCAAGAUGGUGCCAUGGCAAAAGUAUUGCAUAAUCCCGGUUGUUGUCCACCACUCUACUGUACUUGGUAAAGAACAAUGUCAUGAUUUAUAAUAUACUUGGUAAAGAACAUUGUCAUGAUUUAUAUUAUACUUGGUAAAGAACAAUGUCAUGAUUUAUAAUAUACUUGGUAAAGAACAAUGUCAUGAUUUAUAUUAUACUUGGUAAAGAAUAUUGUCAUGAUUUAUAUUAUACUUGGUAAAGAACAAUGUCAUGAUUUAUAUUAUACUUGGUAAAGAACAUUGUCAUGAUUUAUAUUAUACUUGGUAAAGAACAUUGUCAUGAUUUAUAUUAUACUUGGUAAAGAACAUUGUCAUGAUUUAUAUUAUACUUGGUAAAGAACAUUGUCAUGACUUUG